rnacentral:rRNA from 1 species
UAGGGAAUCUUCCGCAAUGGACGCAAGUCUGACGGAGCAACGCCGCGUGAGUGAAGAAGGAUUUCGGUUCGUAAAACUCUGUUGUUAGAGAAGAACAGCGCAUAGAGUAACUGUUAUGCGUGUGACGGUAUCUAACCAGAAAGCCACGGCUAACUACGUGCCAGCAGCCGCGGUAAUACGUAGGUGGCAAGCGUUGUCCGGAUUUAUUGGGCGUAAAGCGAGCGCAGGCGGUCAAUUAAGUCUGAUGUGAAAGCCCCCGGCUCAACCGGGGAGAGUCAUUGGAAACUGGUUGACUUGAGUGCAGAAGAGGAGAGUGGAAUUCCAUGUGUAGCGGUGAAAAGCGUAGAUAUAUGGAGGAACACCAGUGGAGAAGGCGACUCUCUGGUCUGUAACUGACGCUGAGGCUCGAAAGCGUGGGUAGCAAACAGG